rnacentral:ribozyme from 1 species
UGCCCAGCAACUCCUAUCCCUACCUCCUCGCGGUACUGGCCGGGGUACGAGUAACCUUAGGGAUGAUCGGGUAACCAACCCCCGGUGGGAACUUUGGUCGUAUGCUGACAGGGAAGG